rnacentral:lncRNA from 1 species
UAUAAAUAGGCUAAUACUGGGACACAUUCCAAAGGGUAAUAAAGAUCAAUGCAAAGUGAACGGGACUACAUUCCUAAGAGUAAUUAAAACCCACGCAUUAUAGUCCAUACCAAGCGAUGGAAAUACAGUGUUUUGAGGUGUUAGUUUUAUGGUUGUAGGUUCACGAAGUACAGGGAUGCUAUGUAGAUUUUAUUAAACAAAUUUUAUACCCAAAAUACAGUGUUUUGGCCACAUUUCUAAGAGCAAUUAAAACCCACGCAUUAUAGCCUAACCCA